rnacentral:rRNA from 1 species
GAUGAACGCUGGCGGCGUGCCUAACACAUGCAAGUCGAACGGAGUUCUUGAGGAAUGCGACUUCGGUCAAAUGACUUUUGAACUUAGUGGCGGACGGGUGAGUAACGCGUGAGCAACCUGCCUUUCAGAGGGGGAUAACAUUUGGAAACAGAUGCUAAUACCGCAUAAUGCAUCGGAUUCGCAUGUUUCUGAUGCCAAAGAUUUUAUCGCUGAAAGAUGAGCUCGCGUCUGAUUAGCUAGUUGGCGGGUAACGGCCCACCAAGGCGACGAUCAGUAGCCGGACUGAGAGGUUGAACGGCCACAUUGGGACUGAGACACGGCCCAG